GAUCUGGCUCAGGACGAACGCUGGCGGCGCGCCUAACACAUGCAAGUCGAACGGAGCUGAGAGGAGCUUGCUUUUCUUAGCUUAGUGGCGAACGGGUGAGUAACGCGUGAGUAACCUGCCCUGGAGUGGGGGACAACAGUUGGAAACGACUGCUAAUACCGCAUAAGCCCACGGCCCGGCAUCGGGCUGAGGGAAAAGGAUUUAUUCGCUUCAGGAUGGACUCGCGUCCAAUUAGCUAGUUGGUGAGG
rnacentral:rRNA from 1 species